UGCGAAUGGCUCAUUAAAUCAGUUAUGGUUCCUUUGAUCGCUCAUCCGUUACUUGGAUAACUGUGGCAAUUCUAGAGCUAAUACAUGCAAACGAGCGCUGACCCUCCGGGUAUGCGUGCAUUUAUCAGACCCAAAACCCAUGCGGGGCGUCCUCUCGGGGGCGCCCCGGCCGCUUUGGUGACUCUAGAUAACCUCGAGCCGAUCGCUGGCCCUCCGUGGCGGCGACGUCUCAUUCGAAUGUCUGCCCUAUCAACUUUCGAUGGUACUUUAUGUGCCUACCAUGGUGACCACGGGUAACGGGGAAUCAGGGUUCGAUUCCGGAGAGGGAGCCUGAGAAACGGCUACCACAUCCAAGGAAGGCAGCAGGCGCGCAAAUUACCCACUCCC
rnacentral:rRNA from 1 species